UGGAAUGGUUACCAAUAUAACGUGUGUGUGUGUGUGUGUAUAUACGUUAUAUUGGUAACCAUUCCAUGUAGACUGAGGCACACAGCAAAAUAAUGAGUAGAAUCGACAUUGUCAGGAUUGAAUACAUUUGAGUAGAAUCAACAUUAAGGUCAGGGUUCAAUACAUUGAGUAGAACCGACAUUAAGGUCAGGGUUCAAUACAUUGAGUAGAAUCGACAUUAAGGUCAGGGUUCAAGACAUUGAGUAGAAUCGACAUUAAGGUCAGGGUUCAAUCAGGACUGCGGACGAUCCGCAUUUUAGUGCAGUUGACAUUUUAAAGGUGAUUUCCCAUUCGAGGCCGACAUCUGCAGCGUUUACUUAGGCCAUCUCCUCGAUCGUGGUAACAUUGCCUUUAAAUGGUGCAUAGCCCAAAAUGGCCGUUCGGACCCUGACCCUGGUGUAAAGACCCUUGACUGACAUGUCAUCACAAAAAUGAGCAGAAAUGUAUGCUGUGUUAAUUUAGGAAAGUAGAUCCAUUUCCUUCACAUAUCAUAACAAGAAAUGUAUAUAUUGGUUUCUUCUCCUUUUAUAAGGGGGGGGGGUCUACUGGUUUUACAAUGGGGAAGACUUUGAUUCCAGUCAAGAAUAGAUACAUAUUACAGUAUGGAUGUGAUACAUUUGUCAAUUCACACAGUUACGUACCACUCACAACCAGUUCCAACACCUAUUUUCAAAUAUAAAAUAAAACAUUUCAGAUUGAUAUUUGUACUUUUGAUUUAAAAACUAUGGGUGGAUUGUAUAAUCGACACGCCAAUUUAAAAUAACAUUUUAAAAUAGUUUCCUUUUGUUCUAUACAUAUAAAGCAUUGGUGUUCGCUGCUGUUGUUUAUAUAUAUAUAUAUAUAUAUAUAUAUUGCUGUGAUUUCAAUGACCAAUCAGAGCUCAGAUUGAUGUAUUCUAACCCGUGUGUUAAUUGUAAAUUAUAUAUUUCUAAGAAUGGAUGUUAGUUUAAAGUCAACAUUUGGUCAUAGAGGACACCAACCACUCUGUACAUGAUACAAGUCUUAAGUUUCCUAGCAAAAAUAAAAACAGUACUGUAAAAAACAGGUCAUAUAUUAUUUUAUUUUAUAUAUUAUUUUUUUUAAUAAAACAAAAAUGAAUGACUAAUGAUUUUACCAUUUUAAAUAUACGUCAGGUUAUUGUAACAAAUAUAAACACCGACGGAGAGUUAAUUUAGCAACACGUUGUUCGUUUUGUAUUCCAUAAUUCAGUGGCCAAAUCACAUGAAUAUUGUUUUAAAUACCGGUCGUUGGAAUAGUAACACGAACCGGAUCAGCACACAGGUGGACGUUGGUUUCUUGACUUUGGUUUUAUUAAAGAUUCCAAAGGCGUUUUGUUACUAACACGUUGUUCAUAAUCUGUAUUACUGACAUUUUAUAAGGCUAUCUUGCCAUUUUUUUUUUUUUAGCAGUACCACAGUGUCAUGUAUCUAAUGAAGAAGGGUAUACUGUUGCAACUGGAAGCACAUAAAUCAAGUGCACCAAGGGAUGACGUCAUGAAUAUCAAUUAACAUAAA